rnacentral:SRP_RNA from 1 species
GCCGGACGCGGUGGCGAGUGCCUGUCGUCCCAGUUACUCGGGAGGCUGAGGUGGGAGGAACGCUUGAGCCCAGGAGUUCUGGGCUGUAGUGCGCUAUGCCAAUCAGGUGGGUCCACACUAAAUUCAGCAUCAAUAUGGUUACCUCCCGGGAGCAGAGGACCACCAGGUUGCCUAAGGAGGAGUGAACCGGCCCAGGUCAGAAACGGAGCAGGUCAAAACUCCCGUGCUGAUCAGUAGUGGGAUCGCACCUGUGAAUAGCCACUGCAUUCCAGCCUGGGCAACACAGCAAGACCCCGUCUCU